UACAGAGGGUGCGAGCGUUGUCCGGAAUUAUUGGGCGUAAAGAGCUCGUAGGCGGCUUGUCACGUCGGGUGUGAAAGACCGGGGCUUAACUCCGGUUCUGCAUUCGAUACGGGCUAGCUAGAGUGUGGUAGGGGAGAUCGAAUUCCUGGUGUAGCGGUGAAAUGCGCAGAUAUCAGGAGGAACACCGGUGGCGAAGGCGGAUCUCUGGGCCAUUACUGACGCUGAGGAGCGAAAGCGUGGGGAGCGAACAGG
rnacentral:rRNA from 1 species